AUUGAACGCUGGCGGCAGGCCUAACACAUGCAAGUCGAGCGGAUGAGUGGAGCUUGCUCCAUGAUUCAGCGGCGGACGGGUGAGUAAUGCCUAGGAAUCUGCCUGGUAGUGGGGGACAACGUUUCGAAAGGAACGCUAAUACCGCAUGCGUCCUACGGGAGAAAGUGGGGGAUCUUCGGACCUCACGCUAUCAGAUGAGCCUAGGUCGGAUUAGCUAGUUGGUGAGGUAAAGGCUCACCAAGGCGACGAUCCGUAACUGGUCUGAGAGGAUGAUCAGGCACACUGGAACUGAGACACGGUCCAGACUCCUACGGGAGGCAGCAGUGGGGAAUAUUGGACAAUGGGCGAAAGCCUGAUUCAGCCAUGCCGCGUGUGUGAAGAAGGUCUUCGGAUUGUAAAGCACUUUAAGUUGGGAGGAAGGGCAGUAGGUUAAUACCUUGCUGUUUUGACGUUACCAACAGAAUAAGCACCGGCUAACUUCGUGCCAGCCGCCGCCGUAACAC
rnacentral:rRNA from 1 species